UACGUAGGUGGCAAGCGUUAUCCGGAAUUAUUGGGCGUAAAGCGCGCGCAGGCGGUCGUUCAAGUCGCGUGUGAAAGCCCCCGGCUCAACUGGGGAGGGUCACGCGAUACUGAUCGACUCGAAGGCAGGAGAGGGUAGUGGAAUUCCCAGUGUAGCGGUGAAAUGCGUAGAUAUUGGGAGGAACACCAGUGGCGAAGGCGGCUCACUGGACCGGAACUGACGCUGAGGCGCGAAAGCGUGGGGAGCAAACAGG
rnacentral:rRNA from 1 species